CCCGACGUAUAAGUCAAUUCUUGCGCCUGCGGAGGGAUCAUUACCGAGUUUACAACUCCCAAACCCCUGUGAACAUACCAAUUGUUGCCUCGGCGGAUCAGCCCGCUCCCGGUAAAACGGGACGGCCCGCCAGAGGACCCCUAAACUCUGUUUCUAUAUGUAACUUCUGAGUAAAACCAUAAAUAAAUCAAAACUUUCAACAACGGAUCUCUUGGUUCUGGCAUCGAUGAAGAACGCAGCAAAAUGCGAUAAGUAAUGUGAAUUGCAGAAUUCAGUGAAUCAUCGAAUCUUUGAACGCACAUUGCGCCCGCCAGUAUUCUGGCGGGCAUGCCUGUUCGAGCGUCAUUUCAACCCUCAAGCCCCCGGGUUUGGUGUUGGGGAUCGGCGAGCCCUUGCGGCAAGCCGGCCCCGAAAUCUAGUGGCGGUCUCGCUGCAGCUUCCAUUGCGUAGUAGUAAAACCCUCGCAACUGGUACGCGGCGCGGCCAAGCCGUUAAACCCCCAACUUCUGAAUGUUGACCUCGGAUCAGGUAGGAAUACCCGCUGAACUUAA
rnacentral:rRNA from 1 species